UGUAGCCACUAGGCCCUGCUGCUUCACCAAGAUCAUCAAGAAAAAACCCAAAAUAUAAAGAUGCAGAAUGGACUUGCUGCUAAAUUGCUUUUAACCCUACCACCCUGAUUUUAUUUAGGUCCCCUCACACAGGAAAAUAUAGCAUAGAAGAGGAAGAUAGCCAGGAAAAGAUGAGGGGAGACAGUAAGUAUAACAAAAAAAUUUGCUGAAGAUAAGUGUGGAUAUGAUGAAUAUUGUUGUAGUCUUCCAAACCGCAUUAUGGUGCCAGAUAAUUUUUAAAAUACUUAAGACUUUCUUCAAUAGUGGCAUUUCAGAAGGCCGGCAGAUGUCUUGAGUGUGUUCUUCGCUAGUUAGAAGAAGCAUCAGAAGGUAAGACUGCCAAAGCAAGAAGGGAAUUGUGGCAUUUUAUUUGUCUAAUUAGGAGUCGCUGAGUGUGAAGGAGAGUUGGUAAGUCACAGAUGAAUAACUAUUAGCAACUAUUCUUUACAGAGCAAGGCUUUCUAAUACAAGCUUAUCUUAAGGAGAGGAAAAGGAUAUGAGAAAUUAAAAAGCUUGAAUCUUCAGAUAAAGUGAACAGUUUAGAUGAAUCACACAUUCAUUGGACAAUAGAUGGAAUAUCCAAACAGCUGCUCAGUGGAGACUUGAACUGGGAAAACUUCAGAUGAGAGACAGGAGAAACCUUACCCCAAAUGAAGCUGAAAUCUCAAAACUACGUGACAAAGCCCCGGAUAUUUGGGAGGUAGCAGUAGAAGAUGGCCCAUUGUGCAUUAAUUACACGGUGUCUCUGGGAACUGAAGCUUUGUGAAAAUUGGGACACCAAGGGAGACACAGAAAUGUUGGCAGGCAGUGGAAACUAUUGUCAGUCACUGACCCGUCUCAGUCAAACUCAGAAGACACCACUAAAGCCUCAGUAGCACCAUCUUCAAAUCUGAAAGAGACUCCAGUCUGACAGCCACCCCUUCGGUUUGGAUCUCUUGAAGCAUAUGCUCUGAUGUUUUUUGCUGAUGAUCGCCUCUUAGAUCCACAAUGAGCUAUAUGAGGCUCAUCCUGCAAUUGAAGACUCCCAGCCAACGUCAACCAGAAGAAAGUCUGAAUUCUGUUGCUAAGUGAAACUGACUAGAAUUAGAGGAUCCUAUUUAGCCACUCUGUACAGCUGGUUUCUCCUCCCAAAUGCUCAAAACAGAAGGAAAGGGAUAAAUUUCAUCCAAUCCUGUAGCACCAAGUGUCAAGUGACCCUAGAGGGAAGUUGAGUCUAUUACCUGGGGGGUUUUAUUUUAUGCUUUUUGGUAUAUGCAGCAUUAUGCUCUGGGAUGAUAUCCGGGUUUAAAAAAAAAAAAGGUAUGAAGGGGUAAAGGAGGAAGGAAAGUCCCAGGAGAAAAAUGUGAAAAAGGAAAUAGAGAAAGCAUAGGGAUGAGAAGACUGAGCCUCCAGGGUCAAGUCACUGGGAAGUCUUUUCUUGAUUAUUUGAUCAAGUCUCACCAAAUUUGCUAGUCCCACCAAACAUUAAAUAGGCCUCCGGUUUAAGCAGAGAAUAGCCAAAAUAAGCUAAAACGCAUCUAACUGACCUAAUUUAAGAUGUCAGCUACUUAAUGGGACCAACCGGUGAGGUCCCUGUUGACUUCAGUACGAACUGCGCUGCAGCAACAUCUGUGGCUUCCCCGCUUUGAGACUCAACCCGCCCUGCUCAUGACUGGAGGGAGGAUGGAAGAGAUUGGUGGCAAAGGAGACCACUGGUAGAAAAGGCAGCAGGGGCAGAAUUGAGCCGUGCUUGUGGCAGCCGGGGUUGUGAGGAAGCAUCAGUGGCAGCCGGGGUUGUGAGGAAGCAUCAGUGGCACAUGAGGGUGUUGGGCUGGUGGGGAGGGUAUCUGAGACUGGGUUGGGAAGGAGUGCCUGGCAUCGGGUGAGAAAGGGGCAGUGAGUUGCCUAGGACCAACUAAGACUCUGAUUAGGUUGUCCCUCGACUGUGACGUUCAUUUGUUUGGUCUUUGGCCCGUUGACCUUACCUGGUUUGGCCUGGAUGAUGUGGGUAGUUUACCAACCUCAGUAUAGUCUAGCAUUUCCCCUCACCCAUGCCCAGUAAGUUAAAUGUUUUUGUGCAAAUGUUUCUGUACAAGGAAGUUUCUAUAAAGGUGUCGGGUUUGGGGAAGAGGGAGGGAAAGGUAUGCCGAUUGUUGUCCACCCAUUCCCUAUCAACUAGGCUUGGUGUUUGUAGUGUGAGGAUUUUUUUGUGUUCAUUUUUACCCCCUAACCCUUGAGUCAUUUCUGUUGUCAUCAGUUAGGGUAGGUUGCAGUCUGGAAAAACCAAUAAAGGGCCCAAGGCAGGUGUCUUUAGACCCUCAUGUAAGACUUGAGACCCAACAACAAGUGACAUUUAAUAUGUGCAUAACUGAGGCCCACCAUCAAACGUGUUCCUCUCCUUUUGUGCACCACAAGAAUUUGAAAGCCAGGGUUUAACUUCAGAGAAAUAGCUCUUAUUUCAGUAGAAACGAGAUGUUGAAGAAUUACCAAGAAGCUGAUUCACCCUCUAAAUUUACCCCUCGGACUCACUGGAACCUAUCUGCGUGUAUCCUUCUAGCAACUCUCCAGUACAUCACAAGGAGAUCAGAGUAUAAGUUUGCUGUGGCCAGCGAAUAUAUCUACCAACUGUUGUGCUCUCCCAAGUGGUUAAUACUGUGCGACACA